AACGAAUUUCACAAAACUUUCUCAAAAUUAAUAUUGCUUUAUAUUUAAAUAAAUUUAUUCUGUUGCAAGUAAACUAUUUACCUUUCUGAGAUUUACUAAUGAAAGCCCGAAUAAAUAAUGUGAAUGUGUAUUAUAUGAAUAAUAUUUAUAUUUAUACGAAUCUGUUUAAGCGCGAAGAGUACCGCAAUGAUGUUACGAUGAGACAAGAGUAGAGCGCAAAACGAUUAGUUACACGCGACAUUCAACUUUAUUCUUGUUCUUCCUACACAUUGGUAUGGUAAUUUUCGUCUGAAGAGAACUAAAACUGUGUGAAUGACACUAAAACUCCGAACGAUUGCCCGUUUUGUGAGCCCCGGGGUGCUGUUUUGAUUUGCGAGUGAGAUGCAAGAAAACACCUAAGGUUAAGUUCAGACAAGAGACAAGGGAGACGAGAAAAAUGAAGGAUAAGACCAGAGGGCCACGCGACAGGAAGACGUUUCUUUUAUUCAGAGUAACGACUCCUAAGUCACGUGACAAAAAGGGUGGUCACUCAAGGCAACACAGAUGCAAGAGUUGAGUGUGUGCAUUAUCAAAUCGACAGGAGAAAUAAGCGGUGAGCUGUUAAGAGCUUGGGGUUUCCCAUGACGACUUUUAAUUUGGUUUACUGGUCACCGGACAUCAGAGAUACUUAAUUUGUUCAAUAAGAUGUAUGUUUUUAACUUUCAACUCUGUUAAAUCGAACGAGAGUAAUUCAAGAUUUUAUUUU